AGCAGUAUGCAACUGUUUAUGUUAUACAAAGCAGUACAGACAAUUACAGAAAUGGGGCCAAUUGAUGCACUAACUGGUAAUUCAAAGAAUACCAUUGCAGAAGAGAAGCUAUUGAAAAUGCGGAUCGAACAUCAAAAUCUUACAUUACAAAUAGAUUUGAAUGGAAAUAGUGACCAGCAUUAUCCUGUGAAAGUUCUUGACUGUGAUACAAUAUCACAGGUCAAAAAGAAAUGGUGUGCGCAGAUUUAUAUAAACAAACCUGCUUCAGAAAUACCGCACAAUGAUGAACUAUAUUUAGAAUGGCAAGAAGGAAGGGCAGGAAAACUUACACUGAAUGAUAUUGACAACACCAGUGAAAAAAACAAUGGACUGGUUUGUCUAAAUACUUUGAAGCAUUAUAUGGUGAACAACAACAGUAAAAUGGCCCUUAUGUACAAGCCUCAUGUUGAAGAGGAUG